GCGGCACGCCUAAACAUGCAAGUCGAACGAAGUAGUAAUACUUAGUGGCAGACGGGUGAGUAACAUGUGGGUAUCUACCCUUUGGCCUGGAAUAACACGAGGAAACUUGUGCUAAUACCGGAUAAGUCUUUACGGAGAAAGCUUUAUGCACCAUUGGAUGAGCCUGCACUUGAUUAGUUUGUUGGUAGGGUAAUGGCCUACCAAGACUAUGAUCAAUAGCUGAUUUGAGAGGAUGAUCAGCCACAUUGGGACUGAGACACGGCCCAAACUCCUACGGGAGGCAGCAGUGGGGAAUCUUGCACAAUGGAGGAAACUCUGAUGCAGCGAUGCCGCGUGAGUGAAGAAGGCCCUUGGGUUGUAAAGCUCUUUCGUCGGGGAAGAAAAUGACUGUACCCGAAUAAGAAGGUCC
rnacentral:rRNA from 1 species